GAGCUGGGUUCAGAACGUCGUGAGACAGUUCGGUCUCCUAUCUACCAUGAGCGUCGAUGACUGAGGGAACCCAUCCUUAGUACGAGAGGACCGGGAUGGACAAACCUCUAGUGUACCAGUUGUUCUGCCAAGGGCAUUGCUGGGUAGCUACGUUUGGUUCGGAUAAGUGCUGAAAGCAUCUAAGUACGAAGUCGAUCCCAAGAUUAGUCAUCAUUUGAGACCCCUACGAGACGAGUAGGUUGAUAGGCUGCAGGUGUAAGCGCGGUAACGCGUUCAGCCGAGCAGUACUAAUAGGUCGAUUGCUCUACA
rnacentral:rRNA from 1 species